CACAGAGUUGACUAAAAAGAAAGUUUUUGAACAACUCACGUUAGCAGAUGCUUGCUCCGCUCGCCGCCGUCCUGCCAGCCAGAAGUAUCGAUCUCCGAAUGCAAUUAACAUGGAGGUGAGUUAAGGUGGAUCGCUCCUCAAGCUUAGUUGAAUAUAAAUGCACGGAUAAUGCGUUGUUUUGUUGUUAGCUACAAAAAUUACUGACCUUGAAGUUGAAAAAGGAGCCUCAUAUAAGACACAAUGCUAAAAUCAAAGCCGGAAAAGUCACAUGAGAUAUCGCGUUGCGUUGUUGCCGGAAGACAGUAGCGUUCCACCUCAACUCUCCUCCAUGUUACGUCGCAUUCGGAGACCGACACUUCUCGGCUGUCAGGACGGCGGCUAGCGGUUAUUUUUAGCAAACUGUGAACACAAACAAUGUUCUCAACGCUCGUGUUCAUGUGUAGAGACCCUGGUGAUACUACGAGCAAAGUUUCAUGUCAUGUCGAGCCUUCUUAGUGUUUUCGUCGUAUGCUUUCGCAUGAAGGUUUGACUCAGGUACAUUCACAAAACAAGCCUAGGUUGCAUUGUGGUGAGAGUUUUUGCUUAAAGAUGCAGAACGUCAGGACCUGCAAGAGACGUGGUGCUGGACCCGCCGGUGAGGAGGUCGGCUUGGGACCAGCUGUCCACAAAUAGGCUGAGGAGGAACAUCCAUGUCCCUGUCGCCCACUGUGUCCCCCACCACCCCCUGUCCCUCUCUGUCUCUCUCUAUCUCUCUGUCUCUCUCUGUCUCUCUCAACCCAACCGGUCGAGGCAGAUGGCCGCCCACCAUUGAGCCCGGUUCUGCUCCGAGAUUUCUGCCUAUUAAAAGGCAGUUUUUUCUCGCCACUGUCGCCGAGUGCUUGCUCAUGGGGGAAAUGUUGGGUCUCUGUAAAUAAAUUGGAUUUAGAAGAA